GAGAGCUGGCAUCUCUCAGCUACUCCAGGACACAGUAAGAAGUCAGCAGUCUCCUGAAGUCCUACAGGGAAUCUACAAUAUAAUGCUUCCUGAAGACAGUCCUAUAGGGAAACUACAAUAUGCUUGCUUUUCAAAGACCCAGAAGAUUUCUGAAUUAAGGAGGUCAUUUCCAGAACAACUAGGAACCUCUAAUCCUCUCAAACUCAGUCCCUGAAUCUGCAGGCACUUUCCAUACCACAGUGGCUUCAUGCUAGGAUUGCCAGGAAAGAAGCUCAGAAGACAAAAGAGAGCUCAACUGCUUUGAAAACUGCAGAUCAGUUAUAUGUCACACUUGCAGGUCCUAACAGGAGUCUAACUGAUCCCGACGUGAACCAAAGCAUCAUCCUGCUUUAUGCGUGACUACCUUAUUGUCAUUUGACAAUUCACAGCCACCCAGUGUUUCUGCUUGGGCUCUCGAGAGCAGUUCCACCCAUCUCACAUCUUCAUGAUUUGGUGAAAUGGUAAAUAAAUAUGGUGAAACACCGUUGAGUGGGGACCUGUGUCCUCUAGCUGCAAUCAUACAAGUAGAAGAGGCAGGUAACACUGCUCUGACAACUCCUAUCCUUCCUGCCUUGUGGACAGCUAAGGACCCUUUGCUUUGGCUAAGCCUCACAUCUCUUCAUUCUUGGCCAGCAUCACCUUAGCUAAAAGCCACACCCACACAGAUUUGCAACCAGAAAACAAAGAGCAAAGGAAGUCUCACACAGCAGCACCUGGGUCACUGUUGUAAGCAGGAACCCGAACCUUGACAGUUUUGCAGGGACAGUGUCUCUCAAGGAAGUCCCACAACAAAAUGUCUUUGAAACUCAGGUGAGGUCAUGGCACCAAACCUUAGGACCCUCCUGAUAGCAAAGGAGGAGAGGAUCAAGAGGACACAAUCAAUUUCAGAGUGUUGCUCUGGGCUGGCUGCUCAAGGCAAGCACACCCUGGCAGGACAGAAAGUAGACUUGGAGUCCAAUGGACUCUUUACCACUCACUAGCUAGGGAGAUGACAAGGAUAAUUCUGCCACUUCUCCUGAGACUCACUUCCUCUCAUAUGAAAAAGGAGGAUGUAAGCCAUAGAGGUUAGGACUUUACAAGACUGUGGAAAGUGAUAUGUCAGUGUCCUGUGUCAGGUCCUGUCCUGGGACAUGUUCCUGAGAUGAGAAGGCAGGGUCACAGGUCAGGAAUCUACAGAACAUGGAAGUUGCCAAAUGACCCUGUGGUCUUCACUGGAGGCUGGUUUGAGCCUCAGGGCAUAGGAUGUCCCAACAAACAGGCUUGGUCUGAAGAACCUGGGUGGCCCAGACUUGUGACUCUAUCAUCACUAGCACUGGGAUGGCAGGAGACAUAGUUGGCUCCUUGCUACAAUAACUAAUGUGGGGACAGCGAUCACACCUGGUUCUGGACAGCUGCAGAAGAGGACAGAGGUGUUGACCCUGCAAAGAGAUCUGACUGAGACCCAACAGCAUUAAAUUCCCUCUCCUGUUCACCUGGAUGGGGCCAUGCAGACAACUGCUAGCUUCUCCAUAACAGAGAUGGUUUGACUCUUCUUUUAAAUCAAACUUAGGUAUGAAGAAGUGACUACUCGCAUCAAGGAGCUCUUUGAGCACACCGGGCUGAUUCCACCGAGACAGAUUUUCAUGAUGGCAAAGCCAUCCAUCUCCUUAAACAGAAGGGACCAAUAGGAGAGAAGGUCCCAUGCCUAUGGUCUAGGUUCAAAAAGCAGUCCCAGGGGCCCAGGAUCCUGAGAAGAGACACAGACACGAAGGCAACGGGGCUAUGGAGGCAGCCCUCAAUUACGGCUCCCUCCUCCUCCUCCUCCUCCUCACCUCUUGCUUUCUGGCUCAGCAUCAUUAGCGCAGCGCCAUGCCUUGCUGCACACUCUCCUUUCUAGGUCAACGAGACAUGAAGUGAACAUCAUUCCUGAUAUUCAUCUUUUUCUCUGAGAACUGGCUGGGGGAUGAAGAAGGGCAAGAAGUGGGAGCGGUGGCUGCUGGGAGGGUGGAGAAUUCAUUUGCAUUCAUUUCUCACCCUGUUAACUGGCAUAUCACUUCUCUGCUCACACUGUCUGGGGCCCGAUCUAGGUUGUGGCUGGAGCAAUUACUGAGCUCAGCAGAGGUAAUGUGCCACAUAAAAUGGCACAGACACAGGUCAAGGCUGGGCCUAGACACUCCUCAGACAUAGGAAACUUACACAAAAUAAUAUCUGUGUAAGGCACAAAUAAGUUUCC